rnacentral:rRNA from 1 species
AUUGAACGCUGGCGGCAGGCCUAACACAUGCAAGUCGAGCGGAUGAAGGGAGCUUGCUCCUGGAUUCAGCGGAGGACGGGUGAGUAAUGCCUAGGAAUCUGCCUGGUAGUGGGGGAUAACGUCCGGAAACGGGCGCUAAUACCGCAUACGUCCUGAGGGAGAAAGUGGGUGGUCUUUGGACCUCACGCUAUCAGGGGAGUGUAGGUCGGAUUAGCUAGUUGGUGGGGUAAAUGCCUACCAAGGCGACGAUCCGUAACUGGUCUGAGAGGAUGAUCAGUCACACUGGAACUGAGACACGGUCCAGACUCCUACGGGAGGCAGCAGUGGGGAAUAUUGGACAAUGGGCGAAAGCCUGAUCCAGCCAUGCCGCGUGUGUGAAGAAGGUCUUCGGAUUGUAAAGCACUUUAAGUUAGGAGGAAGGGCAGUAAGUUAAUACCUUGCUGUUUUGACGUUACCAACAGAAUAAGCACCGGCUAACUUCGUG